UACGAAGGGGGCUAGCGUUGUUCGGAAUCACUGGGCGUAAAGCGCACGUAGGCGGAUUGUUAAGUGAGGGGUGAAAUCCCAGGGCUCAACCCUGGAACUGCCUCUCAUACUGGCAAUCUCGAGUUCGAGAGAGGUAAGUGGAAUUCCGAGUGUAGAGGUGAAAUUCGUAGAUAUUCGGAGGAACACCAGUGGCGAAGGCGGCUUACUGGAUCGAUACUGACGCUGAGGUGCGAAGGCUAGGGUAGCGAAAGGG
rnacentral:rRNA from 1 species